rnacentral:misc_RNA from 1 species
CAGAGUUGAAAAACUCCCUAAACCCUUUGUUUAUAUACCUGUUCAGUUGCUUCGGCAGGCGGCCCCAGGGCGGGGCCUCCAGCCUGCUCACGCAGGUGCCUGCCGCUGGCGCAAACUCUUGUUAUAUUUUUAAUAUUCUGAGUCUCUCAAAUGAAUCA